AACGCGAAGAACCUUACCAAGUCUUGACAUCCCCCUGACCGUUCCGUAAUGGGAACUUCUCUUCGGAGCAGGGGAGACAGGUGGUGCACGGCUGUCGUCAGCUCGUGUCGUGAGAUGUUGGGUUAAGUCCCGCAACGAGCGCAACCCUUGCCAGUAGUUGCCACAUUCAGUUGGGCACUCUACUGGGACUGCCGGUGACAAACCGGAGGAAGGUGGGGAUGACGUCAAGUCCUCAUGGCCCUUAUGGGUAGGGCUUCACACGUAAUACAAUGGCGCGUACAGAGGGUUGCCAACCCGCGAGGGGGAGCCAAUCCCAGAAAGCGCGUCGUAGUCCGGAUUGCAGUCUGCAACUCGACUGCAUGAAGUCGGAAUCGCUAGUAAUCGCGGAUCAGCGAUGCCGCGGUGAAUACGUUCCCGGGUCUUGUACACACCG
rnacentral:rRNA from 1 species